AACGAACGCUGGCGGCAUGCCUAACACAUGCAAGUCGAACGAGACCUUCGGGUCUAGUGGGGCACGGGUGGGUAACGCGUGGGAACCUGCCCUUAGGUUCGGAAUAACUCCCCGAAAGGGGUGCUAAUACCGGAUAAUGUCUUCCGACCAAAGAUUUAUCGCCUUUGGAUGGGCCCGCGUUGGAUUAGCUAGUUGGUAGGGUAAAAGCCUACCAAGGCGACGUUCCAUAGCUGGUCUGGGAGGAUGAUCAGCCACACUGGGACUGAGACACGGACCAGACUCUUACGGGAGGCAGCAGUGGGGAAUAUUGUAGCAUGAGCGAUAGCCUGGUCCAGCAGCGCCGCGUGAGUGAGGAAGGCCUUAGGAUUGUAAAGCUCUUUUUCACGAGAUGAUAAUGACAGUACCGGGAGAAUAAGCGCCGGCUAACUCCGUG
rnacentral:rRNA from 1 species